GGGCCAGUGGCGCAAUGGAUAACUGGCGUCUGUUCUGGGGAUCAGAAGAUUCUAGGUUCGACUCCUGGCUGGCUCG
rnacentral:tRNA from 1 species